CCUCCUUACAUCACUAUAAAUAUCGCAUUUUGGGCUUAAACUUUAAGUAAUUAUCUCCUAAUUAACUUUUAUAUUGUAAAUUAUGGUGGGAUCUUCACUCAAAUUAGCUUUUUUUGUUGUCCUACUGGCCUCUGCAUCAUUUCUAGUUCCAUAUGGAGUUGAAGCAAGGGGCAAGAAAUCUUGUGCGCCACCACCCGCGCCAGCAUCACCCUUAGCACCCGCGCCACCACCGUAUCAAAUCCACGGGUGUGGCUACCCGUGCAGCGACUCCAACGACUGUGAUUGGCCUUGUACGUUAUGUUGUUGGCAAAACCAAACUUGCUGUUAUGAUUUGCCUAUGGACGGAUUAACUCAAACACACAUCUAAGUAAAUCAUGUUACAUAAAUAAAUCAUAUCAAGUGUAGUAUAGAUCAUGUUACAUAAAUAAAUCAUACUACUUCGUACUACGUAGUAAGGACUAAGGAGUAAUACGUUCAUAAAUCAUGUUACAUAAAUAAAUCAAAUCACUAUGUGGUUCACCUAGCUCGUCUGUGAGACGUACUGUGACGGUUUGUCAACUAUAGUGAUUACGAGUUUAUGGCUAUUUAAUUUAGAAAUACAAUUAUGUACUUCUGUUGUUGUCAUCGUCAUUAUACCCAAACAAAUAUAAUGUGUUCUCUUUAUUA